AGAGAUGCUGCAGUUCGAUGAGUUGAUCCCUAGGACCCAGGAGCAGCUGGGAGGCGGCUCUCGGGAGAGCGAUCGCUGGGCUCAGGCCCGACAGCAGGAAGUGACUCGCAGCCGCUGCGGUGACUCUGGCUCCAGGCUCCUGGCGAGAUCCCCGAGCCCCGGCGGCUGGUGCUGGGAGCCCGGAGCCCUGGCUGCAGCCGGGAGAGGGGAAUCUCCAGCAGGGCCCUUCCCGCUGCUCCAGGAGCCUCUCCCAGGGCAGAACCCCCAGCCCGGCCAGGCCCUGCCCCAGGGGGGCCCCGCUCGGAGGGAAGGAAAACAGGUCACCUGGUCUCCCCCUCUCUCUUUGUUCUCCAACACCUUCGGCUGGCUGCCUCCUUGCAGAGGACCGUUUUCGGCCACUGCUUGCCAGGAUACAGAGUUUUGGCCAUUCUCUAUGCCCACGCAGCCACUCUGCAGUCAUACCCGCCCUCCAGAAGUCUCUGCAAUGAUCACACACCUGUAUCCCACCAGCUUGAUAUUUGAGUAACACAUGGGGAAACUGAGGCACACACGUGGUAUUAAAAAAAAACAUUCAGAACAUUUCCGCUUCAUCACACCCCUCUGAGACCAGCCCAGGGGCACUUUCUCCAGUGGCUGGAACCAGUCUAACCAUACCCGCCCCUGAGCCUGAGCCUCCAGGUGAUGGAGAGACCUGGGGAAAGGGCUGGAGCCGGGCAGCGAAAUGACUCUGCACAAAGAGCCCCUUUCAGGGACCAGCUGGCCGAGGAAUCACAUCCACGUUUGUUCCAGAUGGGCCCAUCUUCCAGGAGACAGGGCAGGGAAACGGCUGUGAUGGAGCCGGCUCAGGUAGGGGAGUUUUAGGGAGCUU